ACAGAGCGAGAGGGUUCAGUCAAACUUUUGGUGCGGUUUCUUGGAGUUUAGUAAAGUUUUAGAGGUAUAUUCUGUGUAAAUAAAUCCGAAUUUUGUAAACGAUAGUUUAGUAUUUUUUCUGAAGUGAUUUUAUCAUGUUUUGCAGUUUUUGUGUGUUUUUGAUCGAGUUCUUCACUGUGUUUUAUUUGCCGUGUUUUGGCUAGCUUUUUUUGCUGUGUAUUUUGCCGUGUUUUUGUAGUUCUUGCCAUUGUGAUUUUUCGACAUUUUUUGGAAAUUUCCUUCUUGGUCGUUUUGUGAAUGUAAGAGGAAAUGUCAAGGAAGAGCACACGAGAGAAGAGAGUCCCCAGUAGACUUGUUGAGGAAGAUAAACAGGAGGAGUCAGUCAUGUCUUCUGUCACCUUCUCAACCACAAAAUUCUCCUGAUGAAAGGCCAGUCAACAGAGGAAGGAAUCACAGCCAGGGCCAAUGCCGUGGAGCUCAUGCUGCUGGAGAUGUCGCACGUAGCCGGUCACCGUUGAGGCCUCAAGAAACAGUCUGCUGGAAAACGGAGGCAGACCCUGACACUCACAACAUUCACCCACCUCGAUUCACCUCGAUUCUUCCCACUCAAGGCCACUUCCCUAUCCUAACCAACAAAAAUGAGUGCACAGACAAAAGACAAAAGACAGCAUUGGCAAGGAAAAAGUGCACUCUGUGCCACAAAAGCACACCUUGGAUGUGUGAUGUGUGUCAUGUAGGUCUCUGUCUUCAGGUGGACAGGAAUUGUUUCAGAAACUGCCACUUCUAAAAUAAAAAAUGCCUGGCUAUUGACAAAUAUAACAGCCUGUAACAUGGACUCAGAAAGCUCCAGAAAUGUAAAACUGUCUGAGUUGUUGUAAAAUAGUUUGAAUUAGAUCUUUGCAAUCUCAGAAAUGUUCAAUCUGCACUUUUCAAGAAUUUAUAAAAAGAAAGAUGAAGAAAAUUCAA